GAUGAACGCUGGCGGCGUGCCUAAUACAUGCCAGUCGAGCGAACAGAUGAGGAGCUUGCUCCUCUGACGUUAGCGGCGGACGGGUGAGUAACACGUGGAUAACCUACCUAUAAGACUGGGAUAACUUCGGGAAACCGGAGCUAAUACCGGAUAAUAUAUUGAACCGCAUGGUUCAAUAGUGAAAGACGGUUUUGCUGACACUUAUAGAUGGAUCCGCGCCGCAUUAGCUAGUUGGUAAGGUAACGGCUUACCAAGGCAACGAUGCGUAGCCGACCUGAGAGGGUGAUCGGCCACACUGGAACUGAGACACGGUCCAGACUCCUACGGGAGGCAGCAGUAGGGAAUCUUCCGCAAUGGGCGAAAGCCUGACGGAGCAACGCCGCGUGAGUGAUGAAGGUCUUCGGAUCGUAAAACUCUGUUAUUAGGGAAGAACAAAUGUGUAAGUAACUAUGCACGUCUUGACGGUACCUAAUCAGAAAGCCACGGCUAACUACGUG
rnacentral:rRNA from 1 species